rnacentral:rRNA from 1 species
AGUGAACGCUGGCGGUAGGCCUAACACAUGCAAGUCGAACGGCAGCACAGUAAGAGCUUGCUCUUACGGGUGGCGAGUGGCGGACGGGUGAGGAAUACAUCGGAAUCUACUUUUUCGUGGGGGAUAACGUAGGGAAACUUACGCUAAUACCGCAUACGACCUACGGGUGAAAGCAGGGGAUCUUCGGACCUUGCGCGAUUGAAUGAGCCGAUGUCGGAUUAGCUAGUUGGCGGGGUAAAGGCCCACCAAGGCGACGAUCCGUAGCUGGUCUGAGAGGAUGAUCGGCCACACUGGAGCUGGGACACGGUCCAGGCUCCUACGGGAGGCAGCAGUGGGGAAUAUUGGACAAUGGGCGCAAGCCUGGUCCAGCCAUACCGCGUGGGUGAAGGAGGCCUUCGGGUUGUAAAGCCCUUUUGUUGGGAAAGAAAAGCAGCAGGUUAAUACCCCGCUGUUCUGACGGUACCCAAAGAAUAAGCACCGGCUAACUUCGUG